rnacentral:lncRNA from 1 species
CAAACUUUGUUCUGCAGACAAGCAAAGCUGCUUGUUGGAUUUACUACCUGGGCACUGGAGUAUGAACCUGGUCUUCCAAGAUCUGUGUGCUGGUUGUUGCAAGCUUCUUCCCUCUUCUCUGUCAAAGUCAGAUUCCCAGUGGAUGAACACCACAGAUUUCACUGCAAUCUCUCUUGGUAGAUCAGAGUAGGGGCUUUCACAAAAUAACUCACAAUGCUGUGUGAGGCUAGUUGUCCCCCCAGGCUCUCUGUUUCCACUGAAGGAACCAAAGGCUCAGGAGAUUUGUCCAAGUGGUGCAUGCUGGCCUAGGGAUGUGGCAAUGCUGCCACUUCUCUUAUCUUCUAGUGCAGUCUAUCUUGGUCUCUGUGGUGUAGGAGAGUGCUUUAGCCUUGCUGUAGGAUUCUCUCAGAGGUAUCUUGUUCUUAACAGUUGUUUGUUAUUCUUGUGAGGGGAAGCAAAGCCAACAACCAACAUAUAUCACCAUUGUGGCAAUGUUGCUCUUUAGUAUAUAUAUUCUUAGAAUGAAUUCCUCAGAGACUACAUGUUUGGUUUCACAGGUGAGAUUAGCACACUAUGCAUUGAUCACCACAGAAAGCUCUGUCUUUUCAGUAGUCUUUUGUUUUUAACAAAUAUUAAUAGUGAUUUAAUUUGCUUUUUAUUUCACUUUUUAACAAAGCAAAGUUAGCACUUAGAAUGUGAAUAUCUUUUCAUUAUAUCUCAAGUAUAUUGCCAUAUACCCGCAGCAAAGGCUAUCAACCUACUCAGUCUUUUUCUUUUAAUUUUUCUAUCCUUUUCCUCUCUGCUUUAAUGAGUCUUCUGUCCACUUUGUUCUCUUUUAAUGGCAUCAAUGAAGUAAGCUCAAAGUAAUAACAAAUUGAACGCAUUUGAAACGGCUCCUUACAAUUGCUACAAUGGGUAAAAUAAUCUUUAUUGGAAGAGCUCAUAAAAAUCAGAAUUAUUUCAUCUCCUUUCAGAUGAGGAAGUUAUUUUGGUUCAAUAUUAGCCAUAAAAGUGCUGUAACAUUCAAAUAUAUGUUUCAUUUAACUAAUGUCUGGUUUUAUCCCCAUUUCUUCCUCUAACCAAAGGAUCUCAAACUUGAACCUCUAGAAGAAGUUAUUGAAGGGAAUACUAAAUAUCACAUCAUGCUUGUGCAGCGUCAGAUGUCUGUGAGAGAAGAGGACUUGGAAGAAUUCCAGCUUGCUCUGAAACACUAUGUGGAGAGUGCUUCCUCCCAAAGUGGAUGCUUGCGGUAGGUACGCCUGCACAUGUGUCCAGAUGAGGAGGGGUCUGGAAGACCACAUCUGAGAAUCCUCAUAUAAGGUGCUGAUCCUUCCAGCCCUUUGGGUGAUGCAUUUUGCAGAGUUCAAUAGACUGUUUUCUCUUGACUCUAUAUGGAUUUGAGUAUUAGGAGCAGCGAGGUAAAUAAAUUGAAGAGAACAAUUUGAGGAGUUUCAAAUAGACCAAAUCCCCCUUUUGCAUUCAGGCAGGCUCACGCUCUGAUUUCUAAUCAUUUCUGGUACAUGAGGCUCCAGCUUUAGUGCAUCUAGCUCUGAUUGCUCCCUUGGGAGCAUGUACUAUGGCCUAAUAACCACCAUUUCAGCCAUUCAUUAUGAAAUGGCACCAUCUUGAUUUUUGUCAAGUGUUUAUUUUUGUCAUUAAAAAAAAAAGUUACUUCUGCAGGCUUCUGUUAGCUCAGGCUACUAAAAAAAAAUAACUAUAUAGCUCAUCUUCAGUUUCUCCACUCCAAGUGGAAAAUCAUAAUUUUCCAGAAACAAUUAUCAUGGAAUUCUCAUAAUCAGAACCCUGAAGUAAUGAGUACCUUAUCAAAUGCUAUAAAUGUAUCCUGACCCUACAUUUAUACUAUUACAGUCCCCCAGAAAUCCAUAGCACUGCUACCAUUUGUUCUCCCUCACCUGAGCACUGUGCUUCAACAGUGCCCAGCUGCAUGUUGCCUUUUGAGCUUAUAUGUACAUCUAUUAAUUCUGUGCCUUAGUUCUGGCCAUUCUCCUUCCCAGAAGUGUAUACCCAGCUUCAGGUCUUAGCCAGCCCAUGCUCUACCUCAAGCCAAGAGCCUAGACUCACCUGCUCAUGAAAAACUGAACCAAAUCUAUCCCUACCUUGGGAGCUUGUUUAAAUUGUGUUUCAUAAUGCUCUUAGAACAUUGCUUUAAGAAAGCUUUCUAGCACGUAUGUGCAUGCAUGAAGCUUUUUAGCACAUAUGUGCACAAUGAAACACAUAUUUCAUGUCUCUGAGUGCUUUGGUGUUCCUCCCAGUGAUUACUAGUUAAAUCUCAUUCUCACUCUGGCAGAACACUUUCCCAGCUAAGAAGUCUGGCUCCAGAAUUAAACAUGGGAUUGUACUAACUUUGUCAUUUUGAGAAAGAUCCCAGCUGGCUCGAAGACUCGUUUCCUCAGAAAGGGGUUUUGAGGAUUAACUGAGUGCACAGCAGAGUGCCUCCCAUCAACUAAGGACCAGGAAACAUGAGCUGGGAUUACUGCUGCACUUACUACUGGUUCCUUGUCGUGUGGCUGGCUGACUUCCUUUCUGAUGUAGAAGAGGACUUGCUUACUGCCAUUCAUGUCAUACAGUUCACCAUAUUCCCAGCAGUGCCUUUGUAACUAAGUCAUUACUUUUUAUUUUUGUUACUGUACUUCUCAAUGGGCUCAGAAGGGCAGAGAUCAAAACCACAUUUUAGUCCUUUUAUUUCAGUGACUUAAAAGAGAUCUGCCAAAGUGAGAGUAUAUGUAGUUUUUAAAAGGCUGCUCAUUUAAAGAUAAGGUUUUUGGAAAAUGAAAAAAGAACUUAUAAACUCCACAUUGUGAACCGUAGAAAGUAGAGCUCAGUAAACUUUUUUUGGUUAGUGAAGCUAUAAAGAAAAUAAAGUCUGGUUUGUUGUAUCACAAUUCCUAGGAUAGAUUAGAUAUUUUACAUUUGCAAAAAUGGUACAAAGUUUGAUUACUUUUUAAGGUUCAGAAACACCACAUUAAUGUGCAUUGGGAAAAUGAUCUAAAGCAACUAGAAUAGCCCCAGGGUAAGGGAAACAGGCUGUGGGAGAAUAAGAGAGAAGCAGAUUUGUGCCGCCUGCUGCAAACUCUGGUCUCCCAGUGAGCACACAAAAUUGCUCCCUCAGCUCCAGAUGUGAAGUAAAGGGAAAGGAAAGUAUCCUUUUCCUGUAAGAUAAAUUGAGACUUUAAGACCCUCUUUUUCCAUUGUAAGACUGGUUUGUUUAACUCUUCCCUCACUUCUUAUUGCUGAUUUUUUUCAGUUUUUUUCUACUGGAAUUUCCAAAAAGUAAACUUUAUUAGAUGAAAAUAAGUCUCAACCACAAAUGGAAAAUAUGGUGGAAUACAUGCUAUGUGAGUGUGCCUGUCUAAAUCCAGUUGCACUAGUUAAUCAAAUUUAAUUUUCUGUCUGUAUUAAUUGAUGAAGAGUCAAAUGGGCCACUCAUGUCUUCAGUCAUGCUCUAAUGCAUUCAGCAUGGUUGCCUGAGGCUUGGCUGAUAAAAUAAAGCUCUGUGAAUUAUCAGAGUUAUGCAGUUUCUUCUUCGCCCACAAUGUUUGGCUUGGCCUCACCAUGGUUAGAGAGGAAACACUGGCAUAAAAUAAAAUGGAAAUUAAGGAUUUAUGAGAUUGGGCAUUUUGUACCCAUUUUCUUUUUUAAUCUUCACUGCAAUUAUCUAAAGUUUGUAUUACAUCCAAUUCAGGAGGAAACAGGUUCACAGAAGUUAAAUAACUAGCCCGAAUUUGUCCGACUCCAAAACCCACAUUUAAUCUUUCUUGCAAGUAUUUGGUCAUCCUUGAAUUAGAUUCCUGGACUGUCUGUGAUUAACCAGGAGUAGAAUAGACAAGAUCCCUUCUGUUCCAACUACAUGGCUUUAAUUGCUCAUGAAUGAGUAGUAUUUUCCUAACUGGAUUCUAAGAUCUUUGGAAGCAGAAACUAGUUUCAUUCUCUCUGAAGUCAAGUAUGGUCCUGAGAAUACAUUGUGUACAUCACCUCUCCAUGCCAAACAUAGGGAUAAGUCUUCAUGACAACAAAAUAUGUGAAAAGAGUAAUCAAUGUAUGUGUGCAAGUGUGUAUGUGAGUGUGCGUGUGUAUGUGCAUAUGUGUUAUACACGAGCAACACCUACAAGCCAUCCUUUCAUGUCUGAACCUAAGGAUGUAAAGUUUCCCAGAAGUCCUUGCUUAUCUGCAUACUUCCCUUAGCAUCUUGUUGGCCCAACUCAAGUCACUCAGCCAUUCCUGGGUACUGGGGUGGUUAGGAAACAAAUAUCCAGCAGAAAGGAGAUUGUGAUGACUGUCUCAGCUUAGAACUGAUUGGUACACUGGAUAUACUGCAAACUGAACAAUGGCAGGAUUCAUUUUGAAAGGGGGGAAUAACAGCAGUUGGGAAGUCAACAGACGGUAUCUGCCAUAUGAGCCCCAGAGGGUCUGUGAAGGUAAAAAUGACUUAAUCCAUGAGAAAUGCUUAGACCAGGGCCUGGGACAGAGCAAUGUGUGUUAGCAACAUUAUUAUUGGCUUACUACUUCUCAUUAUUAUCGAAGAUAUUUCCCCUCAGUUUCCUUUCUCUCCUAUUCCAUUUACUUCUGUCAUGCUUCUCAACUUGGGCACCACUAAGGCUUAGCUUUCAUAGCUACCUACUGAAUGGAGGUACUUCCUUUUUUGCUACUGAGCUAACAGCUAGUUAAACACACUCACACACACCAAGGACUGGCCAAAGCAAUGCCUAAUUUAAUCCUCAUAGUGCUAUUUUUGCCACCAUUUCACAGGUGAGGAAGCAGGUUAAGUAAUGAGCCCAAGGUGACAAAGCUCUAAUGCAUGGUUGUAGAAGACAUGCCCGUAUGCCCACACUCCAAACCACUUCCUUAUCACAAUGUGAUACCUUCUUCAAUCCUUCCUGAAUAUCAGGCUAAAAUUAUGUCAAUUUCUUGUGGCCAGUCAGGAAAAGGGAAGGUUCAAAUAACAGGAUUAGUGAUUACUGAUUUUUAAUGUAGUAAUAUAAAUAAAUUAGUUUCUAGGAGACAGCUCAUAAAGCACUGGAAAUACUAAACUGGGUACUUUAAACUUUAUCUCAAAAAAUAGUUAUGGAUUGAAAUUUGUCCAUUACAUUUUCAGAUUACAUUUGGAGAUUACACACCCUUUAAUACUAUGAUGGGAACCAUAGAUUCUCUUCCCAGGAAAAAGAGAAAAAAGCUCACUUCUGGGAUUUCAAGGAACCCUCCCCCUCCAAAUAGAUUUAUGAACUUCUGGAAUUAGAAAAUCUCCAAUUUCACAUUCUAUUCAAUUCCUUUGAUAAUUUUAUAAACCUGUCCCCCAGAAAAUCUGUAAUUGAAAUAAUAACAAUAUUGUCUACAUCAUAGCUUAAUACAGCAAAAGCUUUAUGAAAAAGACCAAACUGCUUACAGUCAAAA